CUUACACAGGUGCCCUGGUGUCUCAUUUUGAUAAUGAAAUAGAAAUGAAAGGGGCCUGCAGUGUCUUUAAAUCAAAAGGCACAGAGGUUACUUUUAAGUAUCUCAAGGGACACUGUUCUUCCCUCGAAAACACAGUCUGCUGUUCUACAACGUGAAACAUCUUGGUAAAGAGAGGUUUCUCCGCUCGGGAGCCUAGAUGUCCGCUCCAGCAAGCCUUUUGAGGCUCUCCCACUGAGGGCAGAGGUGAAAACGGAUUUACAGUUCCACUGGGAGAGCAGCAGUCUGGGAACUACAAAUCAAAAAGCCUGGGAUGCCUGCAUGUCUGGAACUCAGGGUUCCUCUGCCUAGAGGGCACAGCUGCUCGGGGCCCAUCCUGCCUCCUCAGGCACGACGGAGAGAAAAUUCUGCAGCCUUCGAGCGUCCGCCCUGCCUCGCCCGUCUAUCCUGCCUCUCCUCAAACCGGUCCCGCCGCCUCUUUCAGCUUCUGAAGCCUUGCCUGUCCCCCCUUGAGCAGCCCGUGGCGCUCGCCUCGUGAUCCGGAGGGCCGGGGCCUGUCAGCGGGUGGCAGGAUGGGGGGAG
rnacentral:lncRNA from 1 species